AGUGUGAGGGUAUUUUGGGAAAAUUUCUUACAUAUCAAACCACAAGUAAAAUUUAGGGAGUUUUAUCCUCAGAUUUUCAAAUAGGGCAUUUAACUAUGACCUCUUUUCAGAUGCCUCUGAUGAUUUGGGUGUGUGUGUGUGUGUGUGUCUUUGUGUGUGUGUGUGUGUGUGUGUGUGUGUGUCUUUGUGUGUCUGGAGAGGGAAAGAGGUAAAGGGAGAGAUGAGGCCCAGAAGUUGACCAUCAGUUGUAUCAGUCAGAAAUAGCUUAAAUAAAUUCAAGUACAUUUCUGGUUGGUUGAUUUUGUGUAUAGCACAAGCUAGCUUCUGAGAAUUCAAAUACAAACAUGUGCAAAGUGAGAGGCAGCAGGAAUCACAUGCAGAGUGGGUAAGGAGAGGUUGACAAAGGAGGUGCUGGUGAAUCUGGUAAAAGUACAAUUGUGAAGCAGAUGAAAAUUAUCCAUGAAGCUGGUUAUUCAGAAGAGGAGUGUAAACAAUACAAAGCAGUGGUCUACAGUAACACCAUCCAGUCAAUUAUUGCUAUCAUUAGGGCUAUGGGGAGGUUGAAGAUAGA
rnacentral:lncRNA from 1 species